AGAGUUUGAUCAUGGCUCAGAACGAACGCUGGCGGCAUGCCUAACACAUGCAAGUCGAACGAGACCUUCGGGUCUAGUGGCGCACGGGUGCGUAACGCGUGGGAAUCUGCCCCUUGGUUCGGAAUAACUUCGGGAAACUGAAGCUAAUACCGGAUAAUGACGUAAGUCCAAAGAUUUAUCGCCAAGGGAUGAGCCCGCGUAGGAUUAGCUAGUUGGUGGGGUAAAGGCUCACCAAGGCGACGAUCCUUAGCUGGUCUGAGAGGAUGAUCAGCCACACUGGGACUGAGACACGGCCCAGACUCCUACGGGAGGCAGCAGUGGGGAAUAUUGGACAAUGGGCGAAAGCCUGAUCCAGCAAUGCCGCGUGAGUGAUGAAGGCCUUAGGGUUGUAAAGCUCUUUUACCCGGGAAGAUAAUGACUGUACCGGGAGAAUAAGCCCCGGCUAACUCCGUG
rnacentral:rRNA from 1 species